rnacentral:lncRNA from 1 species
ACUAGACAAUUAGAGAGUGAACACCUCAACUGAAUCUACUGCAUCUCUUCACAAACAAAUCAUUUGACAUACUACACUAUAAGUACCCUCUCCGCAGUUUUUACCAAGUUUUCCAUCCUAGCCAGUGUAGAUACAUUCCCACUUCUUGAGCUGAAGAAAUAUAGCUGUGUGCAUCGGUCGAUGCAGGAGGCGGGGUUUAUCCUCAUUUUCGAAAAAAAAAAAACUUGUGACAUGCAUGCAUGUACCUGCUAUGAUUAUUUUUUGAAAGAGUAAAAUGCAUCAGAGGUCCUAAUUCUUUCGCAA